CCUUUUAAUAAGANGGAAUGAUUUGAACUCCCAUCUCUGGAGUUAGUACUGCUCUGGCGGAGGCGCAGAUGUCCAACCCUGUGCUCCCUCUGGUUUUUCUGAUGAGGGAUCUAAUGGAUAAUGUGUCCUGGGCACUACCCUGAUGGUGUUGCUGGGUUCCUCCAUUGCCCCGUAUAUUUGUGGUUGUGGGCCCCGGAGCAUUGGGCCCCCCUGUCCGUUUUUUGGCAAUGGAGCCCGAUGCUUUUCUCCAUGAUAUCGUGGGUAAACACCUGGUCCUUGUCCGUUUUUUGAUAACGGAGUACCCUCUAUGGUGGUUUGAGAACGGCAUUCAUUAGCCCAAUGUCUCCCUCUACGGCAUCGUGGGCAAAUACCCGGUUUUCUACCCCUUUGAUACCUAGUUUUGUUAAACCCUCCUCCUAUGAGGCAACUCCUUUUAAAAUGUCCUGUUUGUUCACAAUUGUAGCAUGUUUUUGGCCUGGCAUCUAAAGCCUGUUGUACUGCAGCUGCCAAGACUUGCCCUUGUUCAUUAAUGUCUCUACAUAAUUUAAUAUGUGUGUUUAAAUCUUCAUGUUUCCAUGAUCUAAUGGCCUCCUUGCACCAACGAUUUGCUUGUUCAAAGGCUAGCUGUUUAAUUAAUGGCAUUGCUUGCUCUGUAUCCCCCAAAACUCUGGUAGCUGUUUGAAUAAGCCUAUCUACAAAUUCAGCGUAAGGUUCAUUAGCUCCUUGUAUUACCUUAGAUAAUUAACCUUGUAAAUGUCCAUGUCCUUGUAAAGUCUUCCAUGCCCUAACUGCAUCUGCAGCAAUUUGUGAGUAUAUAGCAGGAUCAUAUGCAAUUUGUUGCUGCUGACCCUCAUAAGGUCCUUUUCCUAACAACAUAUCUAGAUUUCUCUGAGGAUAACCAGCUGCUGCAUUUCGCCUAGUUGUCUCUGUGCAAAAUUCCUCAUUGGCAACCUUCCAUAACAGGUAUUGUCCUCCAUUUAGCACAGCUUUACACAUACUAGUCCAAUCUGCUGGCGUCAUGUUCAAGUUGGUAAUGGAUUCGACCAAGCUUACAGUGAAGGGUGCUUGAGGACCAUAGGUUGUUACAGCCUCUUUUAGCUGCUUCGCUGUUUUGAAAUCUAAAGCAUGGUGAUUUCGCUGCCCUCCUGCCGCCUCAAAUACAGGGCAUGCUAAUCUUUGAGGUCCUGUCUCAGGAUCCCAUCUAUCAACUACGGGGGUUGAGGGCCACUCAGCAUAUGUUGUCUCCAUAGUUGGAGCUGUUGGUUGGACACUUUCGCCCUCUGGUGAUAGAAAGGUGUUAGUACCAACCUCCCGUUGUAACUUCUCUCCAGAUAGCCCCUCCUUCUCUAAACUUUUUUUCCCUGUCUAACUCGAGAGACCUCCUCUUUUACUUCAUUUAAAAUGUCUUCUCCUAGACUAAGCAAACAAGAUUGUACCAAUGUCCAUAAUGGUAAUGUGCCAACUGGCAGAGUUCCUGGGCUUUCCUUUUGUAUCUUUUUAAAAUCUUCACCAUGAUGGUUCCAUUGUGAUAUAUUUAACAACCCCUCUUUAAUGAACCAUGGGCUACACCUUUGUAUCGUCUUAACGUAUGCCCUAACUGUUCUUGAUUUUACUGAGAUGCCUCCUUCCUCUAGCAAUUUACUUAACGCCCUUUCGGUUUGGUUCUUAUUAAUUUUUAAUUCCAUAUUUCCGUGACAAAGAUACCCCUCACUAAGAUAAUGCAAAACAAAACCGAGACAAAAUGAAACAAAAAUGGAACAAAAAUUCAUUAAAUCAGCCUUUCUAUCCUCCUGAAAUGUCCAUCCAUCUUUUCUCCCUAUCUGUUCCUCAGACGCAAAUAGUUUUUCCUCCCACCCAUCUCCAGGGACUGGCAACUUAAAACAAAAGCGAAACAAAAGGAAAGAAGAAUCUUUAAAUGGUUACCCAUCCUCUGCCCGUUUACCUUAUCACUUACCCUCAGGCAUUCCCCGCAGGGGCCACCAAAUGCCGCAGUCUGGCUGGGCACAAAAUAACUGAGCCACCAGGAGGCACUUGUAAGUUCAAAACAGGAACUCCUUUAUUAUCCGAACUCUGCGAACCCCCAACUCUGGAAUGGCCCUUCCAGGAACACCCAAUGGGAAAUCCCUCCUCUGGCACUUCCCCAACCAACUUGAUCUCUCCAGGAAUCCCCAGGUGAACUCCAAAGUAGGGGCUCCUGUGGUGGACAGCAGGGGUCUAAUAUACAAUUGAAUACACAGCUUAACAUAACCAUCAUCAUCUCAAUGGCUUGUUGGUGUCACCUCUCAACCACUCCAUUCUGGCAAAAAUGCCAUGCACCAUUCCGACUCGGCUGUGGCUCUCAGCCGGUUGGGGUGCUAAAAGGGAAAAAGAAAUACCAGCAAACAGCAACAGGGAUGGCUACUAUCCUGAAAACUAUGGGGGCGUCAGGGCUCACUGGUAUUUGGAGGCCUCUCUGUAGUCUCAAGAGGAAGGGGCAUAGUGGUAGCCCCUGGGAACAGUGGAGGAAGCAGGCCUGGCUGGGAGGGUCAGGGACUUGAACAGAAGCAGCACUCUAUCUUUGUUCCAGGCUGCACCCAAAACAAGAUUUGCCUCUGUCUAGAUGCUGAGAACUGGUCCCUGGAGCACCUUGGAGCACAGAUCACCUUGGGGCGUCCUCUUUGGCAGCCACCUUCAGCAGGAAAGGGCACAGGCUGGUCUCAGCAGUAGCCCAGACUGGAAGGCAGAGGAAUGCUGGAGAGCCUUGAGAGUGUCAGGUGGGCUGGUCAGCAGGGACCAGCUGCUCCUGGCCUGUGCCCCAUCUGGGGACACCCUGAAGCCCCUCAACUUCUACUCACAGGACCUUUUCUAAGCCUUUGUGUCACUUCUUUCUUUUCAUCACCACAUGCUCAGGGACUCUCAUUACUUUUCCAAUCCCACUUGAUAUGGAAAAGGCUUUAAAUACACUUUAAUGAGGCAUAAAUAGCAAUCAUAUGCAUACAGUAGGGGGUUAUUGAUUUUCUUGUGUAAAAUAUUAACGUGUCUUUCAGGGCUAUUUAUGGAUGUCUAGAACACAGCAUAUGGUAUCUACCGAUGUACCAACCACAGAAAGAUCUAUUUUUCUUUCUGGGAAAAUGUCAAGUAUUUACCACUAGCAUUAGUCAUUUGUUUUCUUUUUUUACUGCAUCUCCAGACACUAAAUAAUAAUAGAUAAAGGCUGGCCAUGUGAAUGCAUCAACUAUUUCCAUUUUUCAGAAUUCUGUCUGGUCUUCAUGUCCACAGAGACAUAUCCUUACAUUAGCAAUCACACCCACCUGGUUUUUGGUGGUGUAAUUAAAGUACUGCACUCAAUUGUUCUUUCCAAUUUUGCCUCUGAUGAAAUAAAAAUGUGAAAGUGUUUGACAUAUAAUUUCCCAAAUGUUUCUCUGUUGAUUGUAGGAAUAUACAUUAUUGAUAGAUAUGUGCAAGGUCAGAAUAAGCAAUGUUCUCUCUGGUUUCAGAGGGAGCAUCACCAUCAGGAGGCAUCCAGGAGUGGAGGCCACAUAAGACACCAAGCUUCUUCCCGUAACAUCAAUCAAUACAUGCACUUACUCUGUGUGGCUUAUGUGUAGGCACAUAAGCCAGUUGAGUAGUACUUCCAAAAGUAUGUGGCCCAUGAAACCCUAGGUGUCAAAACCCUUUUCCCCCUAGUCACACAGGUGGACCACAUUACAUCUAGAGAGAUAACAAAUGCUCCUCCUCAACUUAGGAUGGAGUUAUAUCCAUGUACCUCCAUCACUAAGUAUGAAAUAUCCUAAGUCCAAAAUACAUUCAGUCCACUGGCCUACUGAGCUUCCUAGCUUAGCAACGCAGCACACUGUAGAGUGUUAGUUGCUUCACCUCAUGACUGAGGGGCUGACUGUCAGCUGUGGCUUGCUGCUGCUGCUGCCGCCCAGCAAAACAAGAGAGGAUCAUACCAC
rnacentral:lncRNA from 1 species